AGCGAACGCUGGCGGCAGGCCUAACACAUGCAAGUCGAACGAACCCUUCGGGGUUAGUGGCGGACGGGUGAGUAACACGUGGGAACGUACCCUUAGGUUCGGAAUAACUCAGGGAAACUUGAGCUAAUACCGAAUGUGCCCUUCGGGGGAAAGAUUUAUCGCCUUUGGAGCGGCCCGCGUCUGAUUAGCUAGUUGGUGAGGUAAAGGCUCACCAAGGCUACGAUCAGUAGCUGGUCUGAGAGGAUGACCAGCCACACUGGGACUGAGACACGGCCCAGACUCCUACGGGAGGCAGCAGUGGGGAAUCUUGCGCAAUGGGCGAAAGCCUGACGCAGCCAUGCCGCGUGGAUGAUGAAGGUCUUAGGAUUGUAAAAUCCUUUCACCGGUGAAGAUAAUGACUGUAGCCGGAGAAGAAGCCCCGGCUAACUUCGUGCCAGCCGCCGCCGUAACAC
rnacentral:rRNA from 1 species